rnacentral:rRNA from 1 species
UGCGCAGGCGGAAUAAUAAGUCAGUGGUGAAAUCUCCCGGCUCAACCGGGAAACUGCCAUUGAUACUGCUAUUCUUGAGUACAGUUGAAGUGGGCGGAAUGUGUCAUGUAGCGGUGAAAUGCUUAGAUAUGACACAGAACACCGAUAGCGAAGGCAGCUCACUAAGCUGUAACUGACGCUCAUGCACGAAAGCGUGGGGAUCAAACAGGAUUAGAUACCCUGGUAGUCC